UACGAAGGGUGCAAGCGUUAUCCGGAUUCAUUGGGUUUAAAGGGUGCGUAGGUGGGGCGAUAAGUCAGUGGUGAAAUCCUGCGGCUUAACCGUAGAAUUGCCAUUGAUACUGUCGUUCUUGAGUACGCUUGACGUGGGCGGAAUGUGCCGUGUAGCGGUGAAAUGCUUAGAUAUGACAUAGAACACCCAUUGCGAAGGCAGCUAACUACACGAUCAUUGACACUGAGGCACGAAAGCGUGGGGAGCAAACAGG
rnacentral:rRNA from 1 species